rnacentral:tRNA from 1 species
UAACGAGCAGUAUUAGUGUAUAUAUAGUUUCGGCCUAUAUGGAAAGUUUAGUAAGGCUUCUCGUUAU